rnacentral:rRNA from 1 species
AGAGUUUGAUCCUGGCUCAGGAUGAACGCUAGCGGCAGGCUUAACACAUGCAAGUCGAACGGUAACAGGGAAAAGCUUGCUUUUCUGCUGACGAGUGGCGAACGGGUGCGUAACACGUAUGCAACUUACCUUUAACAGGGGGAUAGCCCAGAGAAAUCUGGAUUAAUACCCCAUAACAUUAUCAUUUCGCAUGUUAUGAUAAUUAAAACUUCGGUGGUUAGAGAUAGGCAUGCGUCCCAUUAGUUAGUUGGUAAGGUAACGGCUUACCAAGACAGCGAUGGGUAGGGGGUCUGAGAGGAUGAUCCCCCACACUGGUACUGAGACACGGACCAGACUCCUACGGGAGGCAGCAGUGAGGAAUAUUGGGCAAUGGACGAAAGUCUGACCCAGCCAUGCCGCGUGCAGGAAGAAUGCCCUAUGGGUUGUAAACUGCUUUUAUAUACCAAGAAACGCAGGUACGUGUACCUGUCUGACGGUAGUAUAUGAAUAAGCACCGGCUAACUCCGUGCCAGCAGCCGCGGUAAUACGGAGGGUGCAAGCGUUAUCCGGAUUUAUUGGGUUUAAAGGGUCCGUAGGCGGGAAAAUAAGUCAGUGGUGAAAGCCUACAGCUCAACUGUAGAACUGCCAUUGAAACUGUUUUUCUUGAAUUUAGAUGAAGUGGGCGGAAUAUAUCAUGUAGCGGUGAAAUGCAUAGAUAUGAUAUAGAACACCGAUUGCGAAGGCAGCUCACUAAACUAAUAUUGACGCUGAGGGACGAAAGCGUGGGGAGCGAACAGGAUUAGAUACCCUGGUAGUCCACGCCGUAAACGAUGAUUACUCGGUGCUAGCAAUACAUACGAUCUGAGUGGCUAAGCGAAAGUGAUAAGUAUCCCACCUGGGGAGUACGUUCGCAAGAAUGAAACUCAAAGGAAUUGACGGGGGCCCGCACAAGCGGUGGAGCAUGUGGUUUAAUUCGAUCAUACGCGAGGAACCUUACCAGGGCUUAAAUGUAUUUUGACAGGUUUAGAGAUAGACUUUCCUUCGGGCAAUUUACAAGGUGCUGCAUGGUUGUCGUCAGCUCGUGCCGUGAGGUGUCAGGUUAAGUCCUAUAACGAGCGCAACCCCUGUUGUUAGUUGCCAGCGAGUCAUGUCGGGGACUCUAACAAGACUGCCGGUGCAAACCGUGAGGAAGGUGGGGAUGACGUCAAAUCAUCACGGCCCUUACGUCCUGGGCUACACACGUGCUACAAUGGUAGGUACAGAGAGCAGCCACUUCGCGAGAAGGAGCGAAUCUAUAAAACCUAUCACAGUUCGGAUCGGAGUCUGCAACUCGACUCCGGGAAGCUGGAAUCGCUAGUAAUCGGAUAUCAGCCAUGAUCCGGUGAAUACGUUCCCGGGCCUUGUACACACCGCCCGUCAAGCCAUGGAAGCUGGGAGUACCUGAAGUCGGUCACCGCAAGGAGCCGCCUAGGGUAAAAUUGGUAACUAGGGCUAAGUCGUAACAAGGUAACC